CCCUUAGAUGUUCUGGGCCGCACGCGCGCUACACUGACGAAGGCAGCAAGUCUAUAACCUUGGCCGGUAGGUCCGGGUAAUCUUUGAAACUUCGUCGUGAUGGGGAUUGGCCUUUGCAAUUUUGGGCCAUAAACGAGGAAUUCCUAGUAAGCGCCAGUCAUCAACUGGCACUGAUUACGUCCCUGCCCCUUGUACACACCGCCCGUCGCUCCUACCGAUUGAAUCAUUCUGUGAGGUUUUGGGACUGACGUCUUGUUUCUGGCAACAGAUCUUGACGACGGAAACUCACCCAAACAUAAUGAUUUAGAGGAAGGAGAAGUCGUANCA
rnacentral:rRNA from 1 species